UGGAAGAUUGAUACACGAGAUACCAGAAGUUUAGAAUUUCUCGUCACAAAAUCUUCCUAAAAAAAAUCUGCCUUCUGAUGACUGUAGCUUGUAAAGUUUUAAUUUGCAGACAGAUACGGGGCAUACAUAU